AUCCAGAUGACGAGUCCCAAAUAGGACCAAAUAUACAUCCUGGAU
rnacentral:hammerhead_ribozyme from 1 species